UGUAGGUGGAAACUGUGGUGACAAGUUUGCCAAGACAUGGCUGCACAAAGACACUCACAGGGACUGGUGUCAGUGUUCCCCAUGGUGCCCUUGCCACAAUCCACAGAGUCUCUGGAAAGAAGGGAGACCUCAAACAGGUGUGCUCAAUAGCAGAGUGAGAAGAAAGAACACUGAGACCCACAGCAAGAGCAGCCCAGAGGCAGGUACUGUUUCACGAGCUGCUGCUGUAGUUCAGCCACCAGCACAUCUCUUCCCAAACCCCUUCUGUGGGGUCUGAUCUUAAAACCAGCAGUGAGAGAGCCUGGUUGAAUUGAAAACUACUUGAGCACUAAGGCUUUCAGCAAAGACCACCCACUGAAACAAAGAAUCACUUUCCUGAAAUGGAAGGGACCAAGCCAUGUAUUCAACCUCUUUCAGUACAGUUCUGUGAUCUUGUGGAGCCUUUGAAUUUUUCUUCACCUACAAAAGGUUUACUACAGAGCAAAUGAGUUCCCAGAGCAGAAAGAUGCUCCUUUUCCAAGGGGAUAUGAGUUGUUGAGGCUUCAGGUAAUGCUUCAAGGUGAGUUGUCAUACGUUUCUAAAAUAAUC